UGGGGAAUAUUGGGCAAUGGGGGAAACCCUGACCCAGCAACGCCGCGUGAAGGAAGAAGGCCCUCGGGUUGUAAACUUCUUUUACCAAGGACGAAGAACGUGACGGUACCUGGAGAAAAAGCAACGGCUAACUACGUGCCAGCAGCCGCGGUAAUACGUAGGUUGCAAGCGUUGUCCGGAUUUACUGGGUGUAAAGGGCGUGUAGGCGGAGAUGCAAGUUGGGAGUGAAAUCCCGGGGCUCAACCCCAAGCUGCAUUUGGAACUGUCAAGCUAGAGUAUCGGAGAGGUAAGUGGAAUUCCUAGUGUAGCGGUGAAAUGCGUAGAUAUUAGGAGGAACACCAGUGGCGAAGGCGGCUUACUGGACGAUAACUGACGUUGAGGCUCGAAAGCGUGGGGAGCAAACAGGAUUAGAUACCCUGGUAGU
rnacentral:rRNA from 1 species